rfam:Gossypium hirsutum cultivar TM-1 chromosome 22, whole genome shotgun sequence
AUUCCGUGAUGAUGACACUUCUGUAAUAAUUCUUUGUACCUUUCCCAUGCCUCGUACAAUGACUCAUCAUCCAUUUGUUGGAAAGGAGUGAUCUUGUUCCUUAACUU